GACGAACGCUGGCGGCGUGCUUAACACAUGCAAGUCGAACGGGUCUGCCCUGAUUUUUGCGGGGUGGGUCAGUGGCGAACGGGUGAGUAACACGUGAGUAACCUGCCCCUCACUUCUGGAUAACCGCCGGAAAGGGGGGCUAAUACGGGGUGUUCUGGCUGUGCCGCAUGGUGUGGCUGGGAAAGAUGCAUUUUUGUGGUGUUUUGGUGGGGGAUGGGCUCGCGGCCUAUCUGGUUGAUGGGGGGGUGAUGGCCUGCCAAGGCUUUGACGGGUAGCCGGCCUAGGGGGGUGGGCGGCCCCAGUGGGACUGAGAGACCGCCCAGACUCCUGGGGGAGGCAGCAGUGGGGGGUAUUGCACAAUGGGCGGAAGGCUGAUGCAGCGACGUCGCGUGAGGGAUGGAGGCCGUCGGGUUGUGAACCUCUUUCGCCGGUGAAGAAGGUCCUGCUCUUUGUGGUGGGGUUGACGGUAGCCGGGUUAUGAAGCGCCGGCUAACUACGUG
rnacentral:rRNA from 1 species